ACUGAAUGUUCUAAUGUGUCUUCCUUCUCUUCUCAACUGGGAUGUAGGAGAGGAAGGUGUACAUUAGUCUGAAUGCUCCCACAGACACCCCACCUGAGAACCAAUCAAAAUCCGAGAGGAAGGAGAAUGAGCUCUCUCUUGACUUUUUCUGCCUUUCUCAAUGUGUGACAUGUGCAGGUGAAUGAUGGAGAGGAGGUGAAGCAUCCUGGCCAAGUUGGUGGGUCAGCAUUACUGUUUCUCCUAUCCACGAUGUUUUCCUUGUUAAAAAACAAAAGGACUACAACCCCGAUUUUGGAGUCCUCCACCCACCGUGCAACAUGCUAAGAGGAAAGCUGGGCUCCUCCUGGCUGUGUGACUAAGGAUAACUCAACCUCUCUGAGCCUCCAUUUCCUCAUCUAUAAAUGGAAGUAAUGAACACUUUGUCCUGACUAUACCUCUAAGAUCAAAUAUACAAUGGGGAUUUGUAGACUACAAAGUGUCAUCGAAUGCCAGUUAACAAGACAUAGUCCAAGCAGGUCAGCCCACAGCCUGGCAGGAACCGGAGUCAGCCCAUCACCCACAGACUGACCACUUAACAGGCAUUUGCCCUGCCUUCCAUUAAAUGUUCAGCACCAUUUGAUGAGCACAUCUUAAAACAUGCAUAAAAGUAGAGGGGACAGCUUGCAAAAAAGCAGCUCACCAUCAUCACCCAAGGUAUGCGAAUGCCCCUGGAAUGUCUGUGGUGCAGCCUCUCCAUCUCAGGCUGGAUAGCCGAGGGCAGGUCUGAGGGGCAGGGUGGUACGUUCAGAGAGUGAGCUGGAGGAGAAGGUGGACACCUUAGGCAGAGUUGAGCUCAGUCCUGGAGAUGACCACUUCUGCAAGCCUGGUGUGGGCCUUGGGGAGGCUCUCUCUGGAACCUGGCUUUUGAGACAAGGAGACAGGGCCAGGAACAG
rnacentral:lncRNA from 1 species